rnacentral:ncRNA from 1 species
CUUCUAUCAAGGCAAACUUCUCGCGAGGGAAGGGCGCAAAGCUGCGGAGCUUAGAGUUUAAUGGCGAGGUUGGUCCAAACCAGCCGAACCAAUCAAUAUAAUAUAACGAUAUAAGCAAGCCGGGCUACCGAG